AUUGAACGCUGGCGGCAGGCUUAACACAUGCAAGUCGAGCGGGGGAAGGUAGCUUGCUACUGGACCUAGCGGCGGACGGGUGAGUAAUGCUUAGGAAUCUGCCUAUUAGUGGGGGACAACAUCUCGAAAGGGAUGCUAAUACCGCAUACGUCCUACGGGAGAAAGCAGGGGAUCUUCGGACCUUGCGCUAAUAGAUGAGCCUAAGUCGGAUUAGCUAGUUGGUGGGGUAAAGGCCUACCAAGGCGACGAUCUGUAGCGGGUCUGAGAGGAUGAUCCGCCACACGGGGACUGAGACACGGCCCAGACUCCUACGGGAGGCAGCAGUGUGGAAUAUUGGACAAUGGGGGGAACCCUGAUCCAGCCAUGCCGCGUGUGUGAAGAAGGCCUUAUGGUUGUAAAGCACUUUAAGCGAGGAGGAGGCUACUUUAGUUAAUACCUAGAGAUAGUGGACGUUACUCGCAGAAUAAGCACCGGCUAACUCUGUGCCAGCAGCCGCAGUAAUAC
rnacentral:rRNA from 1 species